rnacentral:rRNA from 1 species
CCCCUAGAUGUUCUGGGCCGCACGCGCGCUACACUGAACAGUUCAACAAGUCUUAACCUUGGCCGAUAGGUCUGGGUAAUCUUUGAACGCUGUUCGUGAUUGGGAUAGACCUUUGCAAUUAUGGGUCUUCAACGAGGAAUUCCUAGUAAACGCAAGUCAUCAGCUUGCAUUGAUUACGUCCCUGCCCUUUGUACACACCGCCCGUCGCACCUACCGAUUGAAUGGUCCGGUGAAAUCUCGGGACGGCGGCUUGGUCGCUUGCGUCCGACUGCUGAAACUUGAUUAAACCACAUCAUUUAGAGGAAGGUGAAGUCGUAACA